rnacentral:rRNA from 1 species
AGAGUUUGAUCCUGGCUCAGGACGAACGCUGGCGGCGUGCUUAAUACAUGCAAGUCGAACGGGGUCCAACCGGUGGCAACACCGGUGAAGACCUAGUGGCGAACGGGUGAGUAGCACGUGAGCAACCUGCCCCGAAGACUGGGAUAACACCGGGAAACCGGUGCUAAUACCGGAUGUCCCCAUCAGACCGCAUGAUCUGAUGAGGAAAGGAUUUCUGCUUCGGGAGGGGCUCGCGGCCUAUCAGCUUGAUGGUGAGGUAAUGGCUCACCAUGGCGACGACGGGUAGCUGGUCUGAGAGGACGAUCAGCCACACUGGGACUGAGACACGGCCCAGACUCCUACGGGAGGCAGCAGUAGGGAAUCUUGCGCAAUGGGCGAAAGCCUGACGCAGCAACGCCGCGUGAGGGACGAAGGCUUUCUGAGUUGUAAACCUCUUUCAGCAGGGACGAUUGUGACGGUACCUGCAGAAGAAGCACCGGCCAACUACGUGCCAGCAGCCGCGGUGAUACGUAGGGUGCGAGCGUUGUCCGGAUUUAUUGGGCGUAAAGAGCUCGUAGGCGGUUCGAUAAGUCGGGUGUGAAAUCUCCAGGCUCAACCUGGAGUCGCCACUCGAUACUGUCGUGACUAGAGUCCGGUAGGGGACCAUGGAAUUCCUGGUGUAGCGGUGAAAUGCGCAGAUAUCAGGAGGAACACCAGUAGCGAAGGCGGUGGUCUGGGCCGGCACUGACGCUGAGGAGCGAAAGCGUGGGGAGCGAACAGGAUUAGAUACCCCGGUAGUCC